CUGGCUCAGGAUGAACGCUAGCGGCAGGCUAACACAUGCAAGUCGAGGGGCAUCGGGAGUAGCAAUACUGCCGGCGACCGGCGCAAGGGUGCGUAACGCGUGAGCAACAUGCCCGUAUCAGGGGGAUAAUCCAUGGAAACGUGGUCUAAUACCCCAUAGUAAUUAUGUAAGGCAUCUUAUAUAAUUUAAAGCUUUGGUGGAUACGGAUUGGCUCGCGUGACAUUAGCUAGAUGGGUAAGGUAACGGCUUACCAUGGCUACGAUGUCUAGGGGUUCUGAGAGGAAGGUCCCCCACACUGGAACUGAGACACGGUCCAGACUCCUACGGGAGGCAGCAGUGAGGAAUAUUGGACAAUGGAUGGAAAUCUGAUCCAGCCAUGCCGCGUGCAGGAAGACGGCCCUAUGGGUUGUAAACUGCUUUUACAUAAGACUAACCGUAUAUUUGCGAAUAUACCUGAAUGUAUUAUGAGAAUAAGGAUCGGCUAACUCCGUGCCAGCCGCCGC
rnacentral:rRNA from 1 species